rnacentral:rRNA from 2 species
GAAAAGAAACCAACAGGGAUUGCCCCAGUAACGGCGAGUGAAGCGGCAAGAGCUCAAAUUUGAAAUCUGGCCCCUCCGGGGUCCGAGUUGUAAUUUGCAGAGGAUGCUUCGGGCGCGGUCCCCGUCUAAGUACCCUGGAACGGGUCGUCAUAGAGGGUGAGAAUCCCGUCUGGGACGGGUGGCCGUGUCCGUGUGAAGCUCCUUCGACGAGUCGAGUUGUUUGGGAAUGCAGCUCUAAAUGGGUGGUAAAUUUCAUCUAAAGCUAAAUAUUGGCCGGAGACCGAUAGCGCACAAGUAGAGUGAUCGAAAGAUGAAAAGCACUUUGAAAAGAGAGUUAAACAGCACGUGAAAUUGUUGAAAGGGAAGCGCUUGCGACCAGACUCGCCCGCGGGGGUUCAGCCGGUACUCGUACCGGUGUACUCCCCCGGGGGCGGGCCAGCGUCGGUUUGGGCGGUCGGUCAAAGGCCUCCGGAAUGUGUCGCCCCCCGGGGCGUCUUAUAGCCGGAGGUGCAAUGCGGCCAGCCUGGACCGAGGAACGCGCUUCGGCUCGGACGCUGGCGUAAUGGUCGUAAGCGGCC